rnacentral:tRNA from 1 species
GGAGAGAUGGCUCAGUGGUUAAGAGCACUGGCUGUUCUUCCAGAGGACCUAGGUUCAAUUCUUAGUAACCACA